GAAGUGUGGACGCCAGUCUGCAUGGAGCCGACCUUGAAAUACCACCCUUUAAUGUUUGAUGUUCUAACGUUGACCCGUAAUCCGGGUUGCGGACAGUGUCUGGUGGGUAGUUUGACUGGGGCGGUCUCCUCCUAAAGAGUAACGGAGGAGCACGAAGGUUGGCUAAUCCUGGUCGGACAUCAGGAGGUUAGUGCAAUGGC
rnacentral:rRNA from 1 species